GUUAGGAAUAUUGGACAAUGGACGCAAGUCUGAUCCAGCCAUGCCGCGUGAGUGAUGAAGGCCUUCGGGUUGUAAAGCUCUUUAGCCGAUGAUUAUAAUGACUGUAGUCGGAAAAUAAGCCCCGGCUAACUUCGUGCCAGCAGCCGCGGUAAUACGAAGGGGGCGAGCGUUAUUCGGAAUCACUGGGCGUAAAGCGUGCGUAGGCGGUUUUGUAAGUUGGGAGUGAAAGCCCAGGGCUCAACCCUGGAAUUGCUCUCAAAACUACAAGACUUGAAUUCGGGAGAGGAUAGCGGAAUUGUCAGUGUAGCAGUGAAAUGCGUAGAUAUUGACAGGAACACCAGUGGCGUAAGCGGCUAUCUGGACCGACAUUGACGCUGAGGCACGAAAGCGUGGGGAUCAAACAGGAUUAGAAACCCCGGUAGUCC
rnacentral:rRNA from 1 species